rnacentral:tRNA from 1 species
GGCCGGUUAGCUCAGUCGGUUGGAGCGUGGUGCUGGUAACACCAAGGUUGCGGGUUCAAUACCCAUUUGGUCCC